AGAAUGUCUGCUUUCCUACCAGGAAGAGUGGCUUGGCCCUCUGCUGAGGCUCUCAGAGGUUCUCCCAGCCUUGGGAUCGCUGAGUAAAACCAGUCAGCACCAUGUCACCCUAUGGAGACUGGCCUCCAUCCCUGGGAUUUGCUGGUAGAAGAAAGGGAAUCAGCGCUGACUGAGCUCCUACUAUGUGCCCUUCCUGGGCCUGGCACUGGAAUCACAGGAUGAAUGAAUAAGGCAUAUUUCCUGCCCUGAGGAGGCGUCUAUAGGGGAAGUCGGAAUUAAGGCACCUCCAGAAUUCUGAGGUCAAGGGAAUGUCAACAGAGCUGUGAACAAAAUGCCCAAAGCCAUGAAAAUCUACAGAGAGAGACUCGAAGGGGAGGAAUGGGGCCAGGCUGAGGUCGGGAUGGUGGAGGAGG
rnacentral:lncRNA from 1 species